AUAUCAAUAAGCGGAGGAAAAGAAACCAACAGGGAUUGCCUCAGUAACGGCGAGUGAAGCGGCAACAGCUCAAAUUUGAAAUCUGGCUCCUCUGGGGGUCCGAGUUGUAAUUUGUAGAGGAUGCUUCGGGCAAGGCCGCGGUCUAAUUUGCUUGGAACAGCGAGUCACAGAGGGUGAGAGUCCCGUCUGGAACCGUGCGCCGCGUCCAUGUGAAGCUCCUUCGACGAGUCGAGUUGUUUGGGAAUGCAGCUCUAAAUGGGUGGUAAAUUUCAUCUAAAGCUAAAUAUUGGCCAGAGACCGAUAGCGCACAAGUAGAGUGAUCGAAAGAUGAAAAGCACUUUGAAAAGAGAGUUAAACAGUAUGUGAAAUUGUUGAAAGGGAAGCGCUUGCAACCAGACUUGCGUGUGACGGUUCCCCCGACCUUCUGGUUGGGUUAUUCCGUCAUCUCCAGGCCAGCAUCGGUUCGGGUGGUCGGUCAAAGACCCCGGGAAUGUAUCCACCUCCGGGUCGACUUAUAGCCCGGAGUGCAAUGCGACCCACCCGGACCGAGGAACGCGCUUCGGCUCGGAUGCUGGCGUAAUGGUUGUAAGCGGCCCGUCUUGAAACACGGACCAAGGAGUCUAACAUCUAUGCGAGUGUUUGGGUGUCAAACCCCUACGCGUAAUGAAAGUGAACGGAGGUAAGAACUCUUCGGGGCGCAUUAUCGACCGAUCCUGAUGUCUUCGGAUGGAUUUGAGUAAGAGCAUAGCUGUUGGGACCCGAAAGGUAUGUUGCUCUUUUCCUAAUACACUCAUUCCUUUUUUUCUUUUGAAUUUUGAUUUCGUUAAUGUACAUUCUAACUAUGGAUAUGCAUAUGCUAACUUAUAUUUUGUUAAAGAUGGUGAACUAUGCCUGAAUAGGGUGAAGCCAGAGGAAACUCUGGUGGAGGCUCGCAGCGGUUCUGACGUGCAAAUCGAUCGUCAAAUUUGGGCAUAGGGGCGAAAGACCAAUCGAACUAUCUGGUAGCUGGUUCCUGUCGAAGUUUCCCUCAGGAUAGCAGUAACGUUUUCAGUUUUAUGAGGUAAAGCGAAUGAUUAGAGGCCUUGGGGUUGAAACAACCUUAACCUAUUCUCAAACUUUAAAUAUGUAAGAAGUCCUUGUUUCUUAACUGAACGUGGACAUUUGAAUGUACCGUUACUAGUGGGCCAUUUUUGGUAAGCAGAACUGGCGAUGCGGGAUGAACCGAACGUGAGGUUAAGGUGCCGGAAUGUACGCUCAUCAGACACCACAAAAGGUGUCAAUGCAUCCAGACAGCCGGACGGUGGCCAUGGAAGUCGGAAUCCGCUUAGGAGUGUGUAUCGACAUUGGGAUCGAAUUGUUGCACACAAGGAAUUCUUACAACGUAGAAUUUAGUUGUGUGUGUCGUAGACAUUACAUGACAAUGGCUCUAUUUGACUGGAAAUCCAAACGGAUGAUCAGUCGUAAAUCUCAGAUUUAUCUACAGACUAAAACGAGCCAGCUAUCCCUGCCCUGCAGGAAUAGUUAAGAUAUAGUCGAUCAAGGCCUUUUUGCGGAGACCUCAGACCGAGAACAACUCACCGGCCGAAUGCAUUGGCCCUGAAAAUGGAUGGCGCUUAAGCGUGCUACCUAUACCUCGCCGUUGGGGUUGAAAUGAUGCCCCAACGAGUAGGCAGGCGUGGGGAUUUGUGACGAAGCCUUGGGGGUGACCCUAGGUCGAACAAUCUCUAGUG
rnacentral:rRNA from 1 species